GCCCGCCUAGCUCAAUCGGAUAGAGCGUCAGACUCUUACCAAGGCGGGAAUCUGAAGGCUGCGAGUUCGACCCUCGCGGUGGGCU